rnacentral:misc_RNA from 1 species
ACACAACUUGUCUUCUAGGCUC